rnacentral:rRNA from 1 species
AGCGAACGCUGGCGGCAGGCCUAACACAUACAAGUCGAGCGCCCAGCAAUGGGAGCGGCAGACGGGAUAGUAACACGUGGGAACGUACCUUUCAGUUCGGAACAACCCAGGGAAACUUGGGCUAAUACCGAAUACGUCCGUAAGGAGAAAGAUUUAUCGCUGAAAGAUCGGCCCGCGUCUGAUUAGCUAGUUGGUGAGGUAAUGGCUCACCAAGGCGACGAUCAGUAGCUGGCUGAGAGGAUGAUCAGCAUCACUGGGACUGAGACACGGCCCAGACUCCUACGGGAGGCAGCAGUGGGGAAUAUUGGACAAUGGGCGCAAGCCUGAUCCAGCCAUGCCGCGUGGAUGAUGAAGGCCUUAGGGUUGUAAAGUCCUUUCGGCGGGGGAAGAUAAUGACGGUACCCGCAGAAGAAGCCCCGGCUAACUUCGUGCCAGCCGCCGCGGU